UACGGGGGGAGCAAGCGUUGUUCGGAUUUACUGGGCGUAAAGGGCGCGUAGGCGGCAAUUCAAGUCAUCUGUGAAAUCUCCGGGCUUAACCCGGAACGGCCAGAUGAUACUGCUUUGCUAGAGUGCAGAAGGGGCAAUCGGGAUUCUUGGUGUAGCGGUGAAAUGCGUAGAUAUCAAGAGGAACACCUGAGGUGAAGACGGGUGACUGGGCUGGUUCUGACACUGAGGCACGAAAGCGUGGGGAGCGAACGGG
rnacentral:rRNA from 1 species